rnacentral:rRNA from 1 species
GGGUGCGAUCAUACCAGCACUAAUGCACCGGAUCCCAUCAGAACUCCGCAGUUAAGCUUGCUUGGGCGAGAGUAGUACUAAGAUGGGUGACCUCCUGGGAAGUCCUCGUGUUGCACCCC